UCUGGACAAAAUGGAAAAUAGUCCCUCAUCCUCAUCUGACUACCUGAUCUCACCCUCUCUCUCACUCCGUCUCGCGUAGCCUUCGUCCUCACUGCACCCAGCCAGCCUUCUCCGCAUCCUCUCUCAUAGCCUUCUUUAUCGCAUUUCGAUCAGCCUUCAAGCCCCAAUAGCUCUCCCACUAUGACGAGGACUCCGAUUCUAAUUGCGUCGAGAUUAAACAUGAACUGGAGGACGACGGCUUCGAUUGCAUCAUUAUUAGAAUGAAUUGGAGGACGACAACGCCGGUGAGGUCCAGGAGACCAGGUCGGUCAAUUGUGGACGUCGUUUUGUGGUCGUGGACGAGGGUAGCAAUGGGGAUUGGGCUAAUAUUAUGUCAACGAGUGAGGAUGAGGAGGUAGAAGAGUUGGAGGACGACGAUAUAAUUGGGAAGGCUUUGCAGAAGUGUGCCAAGAUAUCAGUGGAUUUGAGAAAGAAGCUCCAAGGGAGUUCGGCUCUGGCAGUUUCUGAUUGGUACACCGAAGUGGAAGCUGCCUCUGUGAAGAUUGUCAAUCAGCCAUUUUGGUCGACGAGAUGGGUCUUGGGAAGACCAUUCAGGCUAUAACAUACUUGAUGCUAUUGAAACAUUUAAAUGAUGACCUGGGUCCACAUUUGAUUGUAUGCCCUGCUUCCUGUUUUGGAAAUUAGGAAAGAGAACUUAAAAAGUAGUGCCCAUCAUUCAUUGUUCUCCAAUAUCAUAGGGCUGCACAAUCGGCAUAUUCAAAAGAGUUGAACUCUUUGUCCAAAACUGGAUUAUCGCCUCCUUUUAAUGUUAUUCUCGUGUGUUACUCACUAUUUGAAAGACAUAGGUUUGCUUUGGUGUUGCAUAUGGAAAAUUGAUAGUAAUUUUGAUUUCAUGUUAAUUUAAUUCCUUCUACUUAUGGUCUUCUAGUGCACAGCAGAAAAUGAUCGUAAAAUUCUGAAACGAUGACAGUGGAGUUGUGUGCUUAUGGACGAGGCUCAUGCUUUGAAGGACAAAAAAUAGCUACAAGUGGAAAAACCUAAUCAGCAAAGGAGGCCCUGACAACAAGAAGUUCAGGUACCGCGGCGUGCAUCAACAGAGCAAGGGAAAAUGGGUAGCUGAGAUCCGUGAGCCUCGUAAGUGCACUUGCAAGUGGUUGGGGACCUUCGCCACUGCCGAGGAUGCUGCCUGCGCCUACGACCUGGCCGCCAUCAUCCUUUACGCUUCCAGGGCACAGCUCAACCUCCAGCCUUCCGGUUCCUCGUCCUAGAACUCCACGCGUGGCUCCUCGUCUUCCUCUUUAUCAUCCAGCUCAUCCACCCAAACCCUAAGACCCCUUCUCCCUAGCCCCUAUGGCUUCGACCUUACUUUUUUUUUUUUUUUUUUUUUUAAGUUUUAAAUUGGAGAUUGCAGUUGGCUAGAGAGAGAGAGAGAGAGAGGAAAGAGAGGAUGGUGGAGGAAGGUUGGGGGGACAGGUGGGGAAGGGUUUGGUGGCUCGGAGGAGGAGGAUUUGGUGCAUAAGAGGUGGUUGAGAGAUGGGUUCAGAUUAGGAAGAAAAAAGAGAGAAAGGGAGAGAAUUGUAGAUGGUGGGUCCCAUAUGUAUUUUGAUUCUUGGGUGAGUUUAGAGGAUUGGGUUUGGGGCAAACUGGGGUUUUCUGUUUGAAAUUGGAGAAUUAGGGUUAGGGUUUGGGUUGAAGAUCUUCGAAAGGGAGGGGGUUCUGGAACAGAAAGAGGGACAAAGGUAGGGGACGGGAAAAGGUGGGUGUUGGGGUGAGUGUUGUUGGGGGUUGCGGGGGAGAAUUGCAGAGGAAUAAAAGGGAUGGGGUUCUCGGAUGUUUGGAACGGAUCAGGAAGAAAAAGGGGAGAUAAUUAUAGGGGUGGGUCCCACAUUUUUAAAAUAAAAAUAUUAAAAUAAUUUAAUUUAAUUUUAUUAAUAUUUAAUUAAUAUUUUUA